AUGUGGCCGGAGGACCCUCUCCCUGCUUUGUGGCGAAGGAGACCACAAGUCAGGCCUCCCCCACUCUGAAGACACAGGACGUCUGUACACGUGAUCUCAUACUGGCACAUCCAGGCCUAGGUCACCAUCAAACACGUCGGAGCCAGCCCCUUCGGAGGGAGCCAGUGGAGAUCUGGGGGGAUCUUCUUCAGGGGGCUCCAGGCCCAGUGUCAGCUCACCACCUCCACUCUGGGGACUUCCGCCGUGAAUAGGUAAAGCACCUUCGAGGCUCCCUCCAGGACACCAGCCUGUGAGUGCCCACACACAGGCCCUCCCACCUUUCCUCUGCCUGAGGUUCAACCCUGCCACGUACAUUUGACCAUGAUCAUGUAGACAUCGAUGGUGCAGAUUGGAGGCUGAGGUGGCCACAAGACUGCACAGCGUGGACAUAAGCAACCAUCCUCCCCUUCCUUCCAUCCCCACCCUCAUGCUUCUGCCUGUAUCCCACCCUGCCAUGGCUACUCAUCCAGCCCUCCCUAUCACCACCUCCACACACCAUAGCUCCACACAUCACUCUGAUGGGUGAACCGGCGUCUAAGAAUAGAUUCCAAUGCCAUCCACUUGAUGGGUACCUGGGAAUGCAGAGCAAGAAGUCCUGACUGGCUGUGCAGCCGAGCCAGCCCGAAGUCUGUAAUCUUGACGUGAUUGGGACUCUUGACGAGCACGUUCCGGGCAGCGAGGUCCCUGUGAACGAGCCGCACAUCCUCCAGGUAGCUCAUCCCCUGGACAGAGGGCGCCAGUGUGAAAUGAUCCUCAUCUGAGCCUGGUUGGGCACGGCUCCACUGGGCGUCAGCGGCUCCACUAGCUGGAGGGAGAGGGUGGUAGGCCUACGCAUUGUAUACUUCCGGAUCUUCUGUCGCCUUCGUUUGAUUAGGAUUCCAACGACCACCACUAUGAUCAGGAACAACAGGACGCCCACCACAGUUGCAAUGAUGAAUGUCACUGGGCUGGAAACAGAGCCAGAGUAAACGUCACAGGAGAUAACCACCAAA